UUAAACUGAGCUGUAACGUCGCGGCUACUUGAAAGCUGGUAAUCACAAACGCAACGCAGCACCCGUGAACCGGCUGUCUGAGACGCACAAACGGUCACCCUCGCGCUACAAAUCAGCGGGAAUUGCCGUUCCUGAGCCGAGACGCAUUGCCUGCCGCACACAGAUCUCAUCUGGGCACUGGCACAAGCGCGCGGGCUGACGGAAUCGAUUGGCCGACGGCGGGGAAUGAGACGGCGAGAGUGGCUGUUUGUGCCCGGGUGAGAUACAUAUUGAGCGAGCGUUAUAGCUUUAUUUAGCCGCAUUGAUUAGCAGGCAAAGUAGCCGUGCUUUGGCGAUGUGUGAACGUCCUGCGCCGGCUGCCAGUUGUACCAGGAGGUCGUUCGGCAUUCCCCCCACGCCCCCUCCCACAAAAGUAAAGAGGACAGUAUCAACAAAAGAAAAUUAGAGGAGCUGCGCACGGUUAAAAUGAAAGGUUGAAAAACAAGGGGACAGCCAGUGCAGAGACCGGCAGUGCAGCUGCUCACAUGGGCUCGCAUGGGCGGACCGUGACCCCCGAAAAGGAUGACUCAUAGCGCUGGACGUGCAGAAUUUGUCACCCAGCGAAUGGCUCGUGUCUUCAGGAUUCUCCAGCUGUUUUUUUUUCCUGGUGAAAGAAAGGCAGGGUUUAUUAUAAUGCACAAGGCCACUCUGUGUUUCUCAGCAAUACCUGGUGGAGUUAGGAUCAGACUGCCCCCACAGCAGUACAAUACUAUACAGUACAAUACUCUGUAAAUAUGCGAGGAAGAUAUAAUGACAGAUAUAUUUCACAU